AAAACAUGUCUUAUUGAUAAUAAUCUUAAGUCUAAUCUGCCCAAUGAAAAUUAAAUGGCUGCAGUAUCAAUAACUGUACAAAGGUAGCAUAAUAAUUAGUUUUUUAAUUGAAAACUAGAAUGAAAGAUUAAAUGAAAUAUAAACUUUAUAAAUAAAAUAAAAAUUUAAAUUAAAUUUUAAGUUAAAAUUCUUAAAUAUAAUUAAAAGACGAGAAGACCCUUUAGAAUUUUAUAAUAAAUAUAAUUAAAUUUAUAAUAUUUUAAAUAUAAAUUAUAUUUAAUAUUUAAUUGGGGUAAUUUUAUAAUUUAAAAAACUUUUAAAUAAUUAUAACAUUAAUUAAUGAGUAUAUAAUCCUAAUUUUUAGUAUUUUAAAAUAAAUUACCUUA
rnacentral:rRNA from 1 species